CCGACAAUCGCGCGAUAAAUACAAUUUGGAAACACACCACACACACACUCGCCUUCAUCAAAUAUUUCACAUACAUUCGUCCAACGUUCGCCCAACAUUCAUCAAAGUUCUUAAAGUAAAGUUUUAAUAUUCAUCACAUUCGUGUGCAAUACCCUUCAAGCCACACAUUCAACAAGCAACGUAUAAAAAUCAUCAUCAACAUCAACGUUCGUAUUAAAUUAGCAUUCAUGUUUGUAAAUUGUGCGUUUUAAUCAUCGUAACAACUAUACGUUUGUAAUCUAAUAUAUUAAGCGACAUAUAAAUCAAUAUACAAAAAACGUUCAGUGUGUUUGCCAUUGCUCAUAGGCCGCCAAAUAUUUCACAAUUGGUUGCUAAAAGCGUGGAAGUUGAUCUUGCUGAGGACGUCAAACGUUUUUUUUACAAGUGCAGAAUUUACUUCCGCGUACGCAAUUUGAAAAAGCGCCUAAAAAUUAGGAAAGCCAAGCAGAGGAUAAUGGGUUACAAGAAAUUUAUAAAAAUCUACCUCUGAGUGUACGUAAGCAGCCACUAGCACCACACCAUAGAGGUCAUCACUGCAAUCACACAACAAUUGAAAAAUAAACUAUUCCUUUUUGCUUAUCAACACACUUGGCGAUCAAAAGCAAAUCGAAAUUAUUGUGGAUAUUUACACUCCCAGUCAUUAUAUUAGCAGAUCCUUUUUAUCCUCAGUAUGUACAGUUUUCCUUUUGUUUGUUUAAUAUUCAUU